rnacentral:lncRNA from 1 species
AUAAGUAGAAUCUUUAAACAAUCUGGAGUCACAAGGCACUGUGACAAACGUCGUGAUGAAGAACAGUCAUUUCGAGCAGCCCUGGUGGCGCAGUGGUUUAGCACCGCCUGCAGCCUAGGGUGUGAUCCUGGAGACCCUGGAUCGAGUCCCACAUCAGGCUCCCUGCAUGGAGCCUGCUUCUCCCUCUGCCUGUCUCUCUCUCUGUGUCUCAAUCAAUCAAUCAAUCAAUCAAUCUUAAAAAAAAAAGAAGGGUCAUCUCUGAAGAGAGGGUGGGGCGCUGGGACAGGGCUGGGGGUGGGCGGGGUCUUCGGUGUGGGUGAGCCUCUAGAGCCUGGGGCCCUGGCACCGUGGUGGAGGGGAGGCAAGAACGGUGCUCAGUGGCCACUCAGGUGGGCACUCGGCAGGCGCUCCCUGGGCACUCAGCGGGCACUCGGGGCACUCAGUGGGCGCUCAGGUGGGCACUCGGCGGGGGCUCAGGUGGGCACUUGGUGGGCACUCGGCAGGCGCUCAGGCGGGCGCUCAGGUGGGCACUCGGUGGGCACUCCCUGGAUAUUCGCCGGGCGCUCCACGGGCACUCAGGUGGGCAGUCGGCGGGUGCUCCGUGGGCUCAGGUGGGCGCUCAGCGGGCGCUCAGGCGGGCACUCAGGCGGGCACUCGGCGGGCGCUCAGCGGGCGCUCGGGUGGG